UGCUCUGAUGAAAUCUCUUAUAGGAAGUGCCGUCAGAUGCGAUAACUGACGAUAACCAUUCCUGGCUGACU